rnacentral:rRNA from 1 species
GUGGGGAAUUUUGGACAAUGGGCGCAAGCCUGAUCCAGCCAUGCCGCGUGCAGGAUGAAGGCCUUCGGGUUGUAAACUGCUUUUGUACGGAACGAAACGGCUCUUUCUAAUAAAGAGGGCUAAUGACGGUACCGUAAGAAUAAGCACCGGCUAACUACGUGCCAGCAGCCGCGGUAAUACGUAGGGUGCGAGCGUUAAUCGGAAUUACUGGGCGUAAAGCGUGCGCAGGCGGUGAUGUAAGACAGAUGUGAAAUCCCCGGGCUCAACCUGGGAACUGCAUUUGUGACUGCAUCGCUGGAGUGCGGCAGAGGGGGAUAGAAUUCCGCGUGUAGCAGUGAAAUGCGUAGAUAUGCGGAGGAACACCGAUGGCGAAGGCAAUCCCCUGGGCCUGCACUGACGCUCAUGCACGAAAGCGUGGGGAGCAAACAGGAUUAGAAACCCGUGUAGUCC